AGUUGGAAGUUCAUUGUUGGAAGACUCAAGACCCGAUUCAAGGUGAUCCAUUGACUGGUCUAGUGAGCAAGAAAAGGGUAGAAUAGAGGUCAAGUACUGCAGCAAGUACUCAUCCACGGGAUCUGUGAAAAGAAUCACCUGCAAAAAGCAAACCACACUUUCAAAUGAAGCUACCGAUGCUGCAUCACAGACUAAAGACGGCGAGUUGCUGGGCCGCCUCAUAAACACUUUACAACAGAAUUCGGUAGCUUCAUCCAUUUUUGAUACUCUCAAAGAUCGACUAUCCUUCCCGAGCAUUUCUUAGCGUUCCUAUGGGCUGCUAUUUUCUUUCUUGUGGGUGAUCACAUCGUCGAUAUAAUAAGUAGACUUGAUGUAAAAAAAUUGUUGUAUAGACAAAUUUAAUGUAAGUUGAGAGCUUUGUCUUUGAGUGUGAUUUUGAAAGUUUGGUGUUUCUAAUUUAUGUGUUUGGGGUUUGUAACUCAUUUAACAGAAGGAAUUGGUUUU